rnacentral:rRNA from 1 species
AGCAGCCGCCGCGGGAAUAUGAAGGGUGCAAGCGUUACUCGGAAUUACUGGGCGUAAAGCGUGCGUAGGUGGUGGUUUAAGUCCGUUGUGAAAGCCCUGGGCUCAACCUGGGAAUUGCAGUGGAUACUGGGUCACUAGAGUGUGGUAGAGGAUAGUGGAAUUUCCGGUGUAGCAGUGAAAUGCGUAGAGAUCGGAAGGAACAUCUGUGGCGAAGGCGACUAUCUGGGCCAACACUGACACUGAGCACGAAAGCGUGGGGAGCAAACAGGAUUAGAUACCCCCGUAGUCCCUGUCUCUUAUACA